AACGAACGCUGGCGGCAGGCCUAACACAUGCAAGUCGAACGCUGUAGCAAUACAGAGUGGCAGACGGGUGAGUAACGCGUGGGAACGUGCCCUUCGGUUCGGGAUAACUCAGGGAAACUUGAGCUAAUACCGGAUACGCCCUUUGGGGGAAAGAUUUAUUGCCGAAGGAUCGGCCCGCGUCCGAUUAGCUAGUUGGUGAGGUAAAGGCUCACCAAGGCGACGAUCGGUAGCUGGUCUGAGAGGAUGAUCAGCCACACUGGGACUGAGACACGGCCCAGACUCCUACGGGAGGCAGCAGUGGGGAAUAUUGGACAAUGGGCGCAAGCCUGAUCCAGCCAUGCCGCGUGAGUGAUGAAGGCCCUAGGGUUGUAAAGCUCUUUCGCCAGGGACGAUAAUGACGGUACCUGGAUAAGAAGCCCCGGCUAACUUCGUGCCAGCCGCCGCCGUAACAC
rnacentral:rRNA from 1 species